AACGCUAGCUACAGGCUUAACACAUGCAAGUCGAGGGGCAGCACAGUGUAGCAAUACACGGGUGGCGACCGGCGCACGGGUGCGUAACGCGUAUCCAACCUUCCCGUUACUCUGGGAUAGCCUUCCGAAAGGGAGAUUAAUACCGGAUGGUGUUCAAGUGGUGCAUAUUAUUUGAACUAAAGAUUUAUCGGUAACGGAUGGGGAUGCGUACCAUUAGAUAGUAGGCGGGGUAACGGCCCACCUAGUCCACGAUGGUUAGGGGUUCUGAGAGGAAGGUCCCCCACACUGGAACUGAGACACGGUCCAGACUCCUACGGGAGGCAGCAGUGAGGAAUAUUGGUCAAUGGCCGUAAGGCUGAACCAGCCAAGUAGCGUGAAGGAUGAAGGUUCUAUGGAUUGUAAACUUCUUUUAUACGGGAAUAACACCAUCUACGUGUAGAUGUCUGCAUGUACCGUAUGAAUAAGCAUCGGCUAACUCCGUGCCAGCAGCCGCGGUAAUACGGAGGAUGCGAGCGUUAUCCGGAUUUAUUGGGUUUAAAGGGAGCGUAGACGGGAUGUUAAGUCAGUUGUGAAAUGCUGUGGCUCAACCAUAGCACUGCAGUUGAUACUGGCGUUCUUGAGUGCGUAUGAGGUAUGUGGAAUUCGUGGUGUAGCGGUGAAAUGCUUAGAUAUCACGAAGAACUCCGAUUG
rnacentral:rRNA from 1 species